UAAGGAAUAUUGGUCAAUGGACGCAAGUCUGAACCAGCCAUGCCGCGUGAAGGAUGAAGGUCCUCUGGAUUGUAAACUUCUUUUAUCUGGACGAAAACGGGAUUUUUAUCUCAAUUGACGGUACCAGAGGAAUAAGCACCGGCUAACUCCGUGCCAGCAGCCGCGGUAAUACGGAGGGUGCGAGCGUUAUCCGGAUUUACUGGGUUUAAAGGGUGCGUAGGUGGGCUUAUAAGUCAGUGGUGAAAUCUCCGAGCUUAACUUGGAAACUGCCGUUGAUACUAUAGGUCUUGAAUUAUCUGGAGGUAAGCGGAAUAUGUCAUGUAGCGGUGAAAUGCUUAGAUAUGACAUAGAACACCAAUUGCGAAGGCAGCUUACUACAUAUAAAUUGACGCUGAGGCACGAAAGUGUGGGGAUCAAACA
rnacentral:rRNA from 1 species